GCUGGCGGCACGCCUAACACAUGCAAGUCGAACGCAGUAGCAAUACUGAGUGGCAAACGGGUGAGUAUAAUGUGGGAAUCUACCUUUUGGUUCGGAAUAACACGGGGAAACUUGUGCUAAUACCGGAUAAGCCUUCACAGGGAAAGUUUUAAUGCCAAAAGAUGAGCCCGCACUUGAUUAGCUAGUUGGUGAGGUAAUUGCUCACCAAGGCAACGAUCAAUAGCUGUUCUUAGAGGAAGACCAGCCACAUUGGGACUGAGACACGGCCCAGACUCCUACGGGAGGCAGCAGUGGGGAAUCUUGCACAAUGGGGGAAACCCUGAUGCAGCGAUGCCGCGUGAGUGAAGAAGGCCUUUGGGUUGUAAAACUCUUUCGUCGGGGAAGAAAAUGACUGUACCCGAAUAAGAAGGUCCGGCUAACUUCGUGCCAGCAGCCGCGGUAAUACGAAGGGACCUAGCGUAGUUCGGAAUUACUGGGCUUAAAGAGCUCGUAGGUGGUUAAAAAAGUUGAUUGUGAAAUCCCAAGGCUUAACCUUGGAACUGCAAUCAAAACUUUUUAGCUAGAGUGUGAUAGAGGAAAGUGGAAUUUCUAGUGUAGAGGUGAAAUUCGUAGAUAUUAGAAAGAACACCAAAUGCGAAGGCAACUUUCUGGAUCAUUACUGACACUGAGGAGCGAAAGCAUGGGUAGCGAAGAGGAUUAGAUACCCUCGUAGUCCAUGCUGUAAACGAUGUGUGCUAGACGUUGGAAGCAUAGCUUUCAGUGUCGCAGCGAAAGCAUUAAGCACACCGCCUGGGGAGUACGACC
rnacentral:rRNA from 1 species